rnacentral:rRNA from 1 species
UGGGGAAUAUUGCACAAUGGGCGCAAGCCUGAUGCAGCAACGCCGCGUGAACGAUGAAGGUCUUCGGAUCGUAAAGUUCUGUUGCAGGGGAAGAUAAUGACGGUACCCUAUGAGGAAGCCCCGGCUAACUACGUGCCAGCAGCCGCGGUAAUACGUAGGGGGCUAGCGUUAUCCGGAUUUACUGGGCGUAAAGGGUGCGUAGGUGGUCUUUCAAGUCGGUGGUUAAAGGCUACGGCUCAACCGUAGUUAGCCUCCGAAACUGGAAGACUUGAGUACAGGAGAGGAAAGUGGAAUUCCCAGUGUAGCGGUGAAAUGCGUAGAUAUUGGGAGGAACACCAGUAGCGAAGGCGGCUAUCUGGACAGUAACUAGCGCUGAGGCGCGAAAGCGUGGGUAGCAAACAGG